rnacentral:rRNA from 1 species
UACGUAGGGUGCAAGCGUUGUCCGGAAUCAUUGGGCGUAAAGCGCGCGUAGGUGGCUUCGUAAGUCCGUUGUGAAAGUCAAAGGCUCAACCUUUGAAUGCCGAUGGAUACUGCGAAGCUAGAGUACGGAAGAGGCGAGUGGAAUUCCUGGUGUAGCGGUGGAAUGCGCAGAUAUCAGGAGGAACACCUAUGGCGAAGGCAGCUCGCUGGGACGGUACUGACGCUGAGACGCGAAAGCGUGGGGAGCGAACAGG